GCCAUUCUCAGUUCGGAUUGUAGGCUGAAACUCGCCUACAUGAAGCUGGAGUUACUAGUAAUCGCAGAUCAGAAUGCUGCGGUGAAUGCGUUCCCGGGUCUUGUACACACCGCCCGUCACACCACGGAAGUUGGGGGCGCCCGAAGCCACUUAGCUAACCCUUUUGGGAAGCGAGUGUCGAAGGUGAAAUCAAUAACUGGGGUGAAGUCGUAACAAGGUAGC
rnacentral:rRNA from 1 species